rnacentral:rRNA from 1 species
AGGACGAACGCUGGCGGCGUGCCUAACACAUGCAAGUCGAGCGGAGAUUGUAGCAAUACAAUCUUAGCGGCGGACGGGUGAGUAACGCGUGAGCAACCUUUCCUUCACAGGGGGAUAACGCAGCGAAAGUUGUGCUAAUACCGCAUGAGACCGUGGCCUGGGAUGGUUACGGUGAAACCUGGGGACCGCAAGGCCUGGGGCAAAAAGAGGAUCCUGCGUCUGAUUAGCUAGUCGGCGGGGUAAUGGCCCACCAAGGCGACGAUCAGUAGCCGGCCUGAGAGGGUGAUCGGCCACACUGGAACUGAGAUACGGUCCAGACUCCUACGGGAGGCAGCAGGGAGGAAUAUUGGGCAAUGGGGGAAACCCUGACCCAGCAACGCCGCGUGAAGGAUGAAGGCCUUCGGGUUGUAAACUUCUGUUUUGGGGGAAGAAAGAAAUGACGGUACCCCGAGAGGAAGCCACGGCAAACUACGUGCCAGCAGCCGCGGUAAUACGUAGGUGGCGAGCGUUGUCCGGAAUCACUGGGCGUAAAGGGCGCGUAGGCGGCAAUACAAGUCGCAUGUGAAAUACCAGGGCUCAACCCUGGGGGGCCAUGCGAAACUGUAUAGCUUGAGUGCAGUAGAGGUAAGCGGAAUUCCUGGUGUAGCGGUAAAAUGCGUAGAGAUCAGGAGGAACACCGGUGCGAAGGCGGCUUACUGGGCUGCAACUGACGCUGAGGCGCGAAAGCGUGGGGAGCAAACAGGAUUAGAUACCCUGGUAGUCCACGCUGUAAACGAUGGAUACUAGGUGUAGGGGGUA